rnacentral:tRNA from 1 species
GGAGAGUUGUCCGAGUUGGUCGAAGGAGCACGACUGGAAAUCGUGUGUACGCCUAAAACGUACCGAGGGUUCGAAUCCCUUGCUCUCCGCCA